rnacentral:tRNA from 1 species
GGGCAAUUAGAUCAGUGGUAGAUCGCCUGUUUCGCAGCUUCGCGGCAACGUGGAAUACAGGAGGUCCUCGGUUCAAUCCCGAGAUUGGCGA